rnacentral:rRNA from 1 species
AUGCGCAGGACCGGCAUGGACUUCCAGAGGUCGCGCCAGCGCCGAGCCAGCACGCAGGUCUGCACGGCCUCCGCCACCGGCAAGAAGGACAGUACGUGCUGCAGGACCUCGCCCGGCAGCGCGUCGAUCCCCUCGCCGCCACGCGCCUCGGGCGCCGCCUUCCAACGGCGGGAGACCGUUGCUUGCUCCUUAGGCAUUACGCCGAACAGGUGGGGAGCGCCGGCUCUGGCCGCUGAAAAACAGAACCCGACGAAGAUCAGGCAUGGACGGACCCUUCGCUGCAUCAACUGGCACCUCGGAGUGAAAAUUAUGAGCUCGUUGAUCGUUUACCUGUAG